rnacentral:tRNA from 1 species
CGGGGCGUAGCGCAGUCUGGUUAGCGCACUUGACUGGGGGUCAAGGGGCCGAAGGUUCGAAUCCUUUCGCCCCGACCA